rnacentral:lncRNA from 1 species
CCUGAAGUCAGUGGUUGUGAGGGCUGCCUGGUUUUCAGUUUUUCUGUAGUGGGCCUAGUGUUGGGCACCAAGACCAAGUCCCACACUUACUUCCCUUUUUAUUCCCCAGGUGUUUGGUAUCUCUCCCUGCACUGUGCUGUCUGAGGUUGGGGAUAAGAAAUGGAGAAUACCAAACUAUAUUUACUGUUUACAGUAGUAAAGGACAACAAAUAAUGUACAAAUUGGUGAAUAAACACAACAGAGCCAACAAACAUCCCACCCGAGCCCAUACAGCAAACAGGAAAUGAGAACAUUUCAGCAAGAUUUCAAGCAAGCAAGAGACGAUGGGUCAUCGUUCAGGUGACUAUAAAAAGGCGGAGAAUGGCCACCAAGCAGCAAUGGAGCCUCAGGGAAGGACAAUAGGCAGAACUAUGAAAAUGUUUAAUUGGUAUAGAUCCCAAAAUAUUUCACAGAACUGAAAUCACCAGACUAAUGCAUAAAUUCAAUACAUAUUUGGAAAGCAGCACGGCACAAACCCACGAGAAGAACAUGAAGUCAUCAUUCCAUGGGUUCAUUUGUAACCACACUUGGAAGUAGCUCUUAUACACGACAACGUAACUGCAAAUUCAGCAAUACUUAGUCUUACUUUUUUAUGUAUAGACCAUAAUCAUUCACCAGAAGCAAAUACUAGAAGAAAUCUGAGGCCACAACACCAUUACCAAAUGAGAAAUGUGGGAAUUUCUUCAAUAUUAAGAGGGAGAAAAAGGCCAAUUUUGGUUGUGCCAAUCCUUGCCUGUGUACCAAUGCCAGGUACUGAGCAGGGAGUGGGGUGGGAGGGGUGGCAGGGGGGUGGGUCCUGGGCCUCAGACCCCGAGGUUACAUGCUUGAGGGCCAGAGAGCAUGUGGGGUCAAAUUACCAAAAGACUCGGUUAUUUUUUAACCUCUGAAGAAGCAUUCCAGUAUUUUCCCUUCAACUUUUCCAUAUACUGACAAAGCUUAAAUUUGCAAUAUUUAGCAUUUUAAUCAUCUGUGCCUGUAACAGCAAGUGACUCUGUCCUCCCUACCAACCUUGCCCCCAAUACCUGUCCAACAGCUACAUCCCCACUGCGGGAAACACCAAUUCUCUAUGUGACUGGAGUGAGCAGGGGAGAGGCAACCAACUCAGGAGUCAGAUCCCUGGCCAGACUAAAAGCGAACAUUCAGGCUAUAAUUUUGGGGUUAAAAAAAUGUUGUAGGAGGGGGGGAAAAACACAAAUGAGCACACAAAAGUACCCAAAAUAUCUUGCAACUCAUUUUACCUGAACAAAGAUAACAAUUCUGAUUGGCCCAAUUUAAGUUACAGAUUCAUCCCUGCAGAUAUAGUUUUGAGUUGCACUUGAAGUACAUCAAAGAGAGGAAAAUCAUCGUGGUGAAUGUCCUCGAGUUUCCGCAGACGCCUCUGUGGUCGGCAUGGUCACGUGCUCACCAUUCAACAGCAAUGCGAGGAUGGACGGCCCGGGCUGGGGACGGGCCCUCUAGAAACUGUGCCCUGCCAGGCUGCUCUCCGGCACACCUCCCGUCUGCUGCUGGAACACGUCGAUGGUGUCCUCGUCCUCCAUCUCCAGCUGUGCUGGAGUGUCAGUUUCAUUGAUUGGCUGCCCGUCGAACCUGAAUCUGAUCUGCCUCAUUGACAAGCCCUGCCUCUCGCAGUAGGCCUUCAUCAGCUUGCUCAGCGGCGUGUGCCUCUUGAUCUUGAACUGCACCACGGAGCCGUCCUGCCCGGCCACCUUCAGGUUGAUGUGAUCAUUCUCUGUCUUCACACCCUCCUUGGGCUUCUCCUCGGACAUGGCUGCGCGAGCGGCGCGGGCAGGCGGCGCGGGGGAAGCAGCGCGGAGCGGGCGAGUCACGCUCUCGGCCCCGCCGCUCUCCCCUAUUCCCUCUUUUUUUAAAAAAAAGGUCUUUUA